rnacentral:rRNA from 1 species
UUAGAAGGAUAAUGUAAGGGAAAAUAAUGAUAUUACCUUACUAUAAGUGUUGUCCAAAACUGGUGCCAGAAGACUCGGUAAGGCCAGAAACGCGAACGUUAGUCAUCUUAAACAGGCGUAAAGGGUUUGUAGGCAGCUUUGAAAUCCUGAUUUUUAAAAAAUAGUUGCCGCUCCAUCCUUUCCAUCCCUCCCUCUAUCCAUACCUCUCCCUCUCUUCCUGCCGUCCAUGUCCUUUCCUUUACGGCAGGCUGGAUGGAUAGGAGAGAGGGCUGGGCUGGAUGCAGAGGGCUGGAAGGAAAAGGCGGAUAAAUAAAAGAGGGAAAUUAGAAGAUAGAAUCAAAUAUAGGAAAAUUCGAAUAAAUUCUAGAAGAGGGUUAAUAUCCGAAGAUACUAGAAUGAAUGCUUAAGGCGAAGGCCUUUUUCCAUAAAUGAUUGACGCUCAGAAACGAAGGAUAGGAUAGGAAACAGGAUUAGAUACCCUGGUACCCCUUUCAGUCAACGAUGAAUGGUAGUCACUAAUUAAAGUAUUGGUGUCAAUGUUAACACGUUAACCAUUCCGCCUUGUGA